UUCCCCUUUCAAGUUCGCAAAAACUGUUUUCUGUUCGUGGGGUUAGCCUACUCCUAUGCAUCCUCCAUUCCAAGUUCAAUCCCUGCGGUUUUCGGCGGCGACUCGCUUGCGUUAGCUGGCUUGCGGCGUCGUGGUCGGCGGCUUAGUGAGUGGGCAGCGGGAAUGAUGGCGUGGUGGUCGACGGAUAGGCUGGGCGUCCCUGAGGGUGGGCGGUUGACCACGGGUGCGCGACGGCCUGGUGCUUGGCGGCCACGGCGGCGUGGUGAGCGCGUCGUGGCCUAGAUGUUGGGAAGCAUGGUUUGUGGUGGUCGGCUGGCUGCAGCGGCAGUUCAGGUGGUGCUGGCGGCGGCACUAUGAGCAGUGCUCGCGGCGGCACUGGAUCGACCGUGACCGCUUCGUUCCAUCCUCCGGCCGGCUGCCACGGUUGCUUGAUCCAGUACGUGUUGGAGACAUUCCCACCAGGCUUCAAUGGAGGGGAAGGUAGCCGCUAGACUUGGACUCAAAUGGACACCCUGCCAGGAGAGCACCAUGGAGAAGACGGACGAGGUGAAGAGGCAGUCCUUGCAGAGAUGGGUGGCGGUUUCCGGGACCUGAAGCACCCACAUAUCUGUGUUUUGAUUUCUUGUUUGAAACUACUGGGCGUCCAUAUCACUAUCACUUCACCAUCCAGUGAAGAAUGGAUCCAUCAACUCUAAUAUGAUUAAUGUCAUCUUCCUUGGGGCUUUUUUUA